rnacentral:rRNA from 1 species
AAAGCGCGCGUAGGUGGUUUGUUAAGUUGGAUGUGAAAGCCUCGGGCUCAACCUGGGAACUGCAUCCAAAACUGGCAAGCUAGAGUAUGGUAGAGGGUGGUGGAAUUUCCUGUGUAGCGGUGAAAUGCGUAGAUAUAGGAAGGAACACCAGUGGCGAAGGCGACCACCUGGACUGAUACUGACACUGAGGUGCGAAAGCGUGGGGAGCAAACAGGAUUAGAUACCCGGGU